UACGUAGGGUGCGAGCGUUAAUCGGAAUUACUGGGCGUAAAGCGUGCGCAGGCGGUUUUGUAAGCCAGGUGUGAAAUCCCCGGGCUCAACCUGGGAAUGGCAUUUGGGACUGCAAGGCUGGAGUGCGGCAGAGGAGACUGGAAUUCCUGGUGUAGCGGUGAAAUGCGUAGAUAUCGAGAGGAACACCUGCGGCGAAGGCGGGUUGCUGGGCUGAUACUGACGCUGAUGCGCGAAAGCCAGGGGAGCGAACGGG
rnacentral:rRNA from 1 species